rnacentral:rRNA from 1 species
AUUGAACGCUGGCGGCAGGCCUAACACGUGCAAGUCGAGCGGCAGCGGGAAAGUAGCUUGCUACUUUUGCCGGCGAGCGGCGGACGGGUGAGUAAUGCCUGGGGAUCUGCCCAGUCGAGGGGGAUAACAGUUGGAAACGACUGCUAAUACCGCAUACGCCCUACGGGGGGAAGGAGGGGACCUCCGGGCCUUUCGCGAUUGGAUGAACCCAGGUGGGAUUAGCUAGUUGGUGGGGUAAUGGCUCACCAAGGCGACGAUCCCUAGCUGGUCUGAGAGGAUGAUCAGCCACACUGGAACUGAGACACGGUCCAGACUCCUACGGGAGGCAGCAGUGGGGAAUAUUGCACAAUGGGGGAAACCCUGAUGCAGCCAUGCCGCGUGUGUGAAGAAGGCCUUCGGGUUGUAAAGCACUUUCAGCGAGGAGGAAAGGUUGUUGGCUAAUACCCAGCAACUGUGACGUUACUCGCAGAAGAAGCACCGGCUAACUCCGUGCCAGCCGCCGCGGUAA